CUUGGUCAUUUAGAGGAAGUAAAAGUCGUAACAAGGCCUCCGUUGGUGAACCAGCGGAGGGAUCAUUACCGAGUUUACAACUCCCAAACCCCUGUGAACAUACCUAUACGUUGCCUCGACGGAUCAGCCCGCGCCCUGUAAAAAGGGACGGCCCGCCCGAGGACCCUAAACUCUGUUUUUGGUGGAACUUCUGAGUAAAACAAACAAAUAAAUCAAAACUUUCAACAACGGAUCUCUUGGUUCUGGCAUCGAUGAAGAACGCAGCAAAAUGCGAUAAGUAAUGUGAAUUGCAGAAUUCAGUGAAUCAUCGAAUCUUUGAACGCACAUUGCGCCCGCCAGUAUUCUGGCGGGCAUGCCUGUUCGAGCGUCAUUUCAACCAUCAAGCCCCGGCUUGUGUUGGGGACCUGCGGCUGCCGCAGGCCCUGAAAUGCAGUGGCGGGCUCGCUGUCACUCCGAGCGUAGUAGUUACGUCUCGCUCUGGGCGUGCUGCGGGUUCCGGCCGUUAAAAGCCUUAUUUACCCAAGGUUGACCUCGGAUCAGGUAGGAAGACCCGCUGAACUUAAGCAUAUCAAUAAGCGGAGGA
rnacentral:misc_RNA from 1 species